GCCGGUUCUGACUGCUUAGUGCUUGUGUUGUUCCCAGCUCUCUGCAAUCAUGAAGGAUGUGCCGGCCUUCUUACAGCAGAGUCAGAGUUCCGGGCGGGGCCAGGCUGCCGUUUGGCACCAUUUGGAAGAGCUGUACAUGAAGAAGUUAUGGCAUCAGCUGACACUUGAGGUGCUUGAUUUUGUGCAGGACCCAUGCUUUGCCCAAGGAGAUGGUCUCAUUAAGCUUUAUGAAAACUUAAUCAGUGAGUUUGAGCACAGGGUAAACCCUCUGUCCCUGGUAGAAAUAAUUCUCCAUGUGGUUAGACAGAUGACCGAUCCUAAUGUGGCUCUUACUUUUCUGGAAAAGACUCAUGAGACGUAAAAAGUAGUGAUGAAGCUGUGAUCUUGUGUAAGACAGCAAUCAGAGCUCUAAAAUUAAACAUCGGGGAUCUGCAGGCUACAAAGGAAACCAUUGAAGAUGUUGAAGAGCUGCUCAACAAUUUCCCUGGUCAGUUCACAGUCGUUUCUAUGAUCUCUCCAGUAAAUACUAUCAAACAAUCGGAAACCACGCGUCCUACUACAAAGAUGCUCUACAGUUUCUGGGCUGUGUGGACAUCAAGGAUCUGCCAGUGAAGAACAACAAGAGAGAGCCUUCACACUGGGGCUUGCUGGACUUCUCGGAGAGGGAGUUUUUAACUUUGGAGAACUUCUCAUGCACCCUGUGCUGGAGUCACUGAGGGACACUGACCAGCAGUGGCUGACUGACACCUUAUAUGCUUUCAAUAGUGGUGAUGUAGAUAGGUUCCAGAUACUGAAGUCUGCCUGGGGCCAGUAGUCUGACUUAGCAGCCAACGAAGCCCAGCUUCUGAGGAAGAUCCAGCUGUUGUGCCUUAUGGAGAUGACUUUCACACGGCCUGCCAACUACAGACAACUCACUUUUGAAGAAAUUGCCAAAAGUGCCAAAAUCACUGUCAACAAGGUGGAGUUGCUGGUGAUGAAGGCACUCUCGGUGGGGCUGGUGAGAGGCAGCAUAGACGAGGUGGACAAGCGGGUCCACAUGACGUGGGUGCAGCCGCGAGUGCUGGAUUUGCAGCAGAUCAAGGGGAUGAAGGACCAUCUGGAGCUUUGGUGCACUGAUGUGAAGAGCAAGGAGAUGCUGGUGGAACACCAGGCUCAGGACAUCCUCACCUAG